rnacentral:rRNA from 1 species
CCUACGGGUGGCAGCAGUGGGGAAUAUUGCGCAAUGGGCGAAAGCCUGACGCAGCGACGCCGCGUGAGGGAUGAAGGUCUUCGGAUCGUAAACCUCUGUCAGCAGGGAAGAACGGUCACUGUGCUAAUCAGCAGUGAAUUGACGGUACCUGCAAAGGAAGCACCGUCUAACUCCGUGCCAGCAGCCGCGGUAAUACGGAGGGUGCGAGCGUUAAUCGGAAUUACUGGGCGUAAAGCGCUAGUAGGUGGUAUGUCAAGUCAAGGGUGAAAUCCCCGCGCUCAACGUGGGAACUGCCUUUGAAACUGGCAAACUGGAGUGUGUGAGAGGAUAGUGGAAUUCCAGGUGUAGGAGUGAAAUGCGUAGAUAUCUGGAGGAACAUCAGUGGCGAAGGCGACUAUCUGGCACAUAACUGACGCUGAGGAGCGAAAGCGUGGGUAGCAAACAGGAUUAGAUACCCUUGUAGUC